rnacentral:rRNA from 1 species
AGCGAACGCUGGCGGCAGGCCUAACACAUGCAAGUCGAGCGCCCCGCAAGGGGAGCGGCAGACGGGAGAGUAACACGUGGGAACAUGCCCUUCAGUACGGAACAACCAAGGGAAACUUUGGCUAAUACCGUAUACGCCCGUAAGGGGAAAGAUUUAUCGCUGAAGGAUUGGCCCGCGUCUGAUUAGCUAGUUGGUGGGGUAAUGGCCCACCAAGGCGACGAUCAGUAGCUGGUCUGAGAGGAUGAUCAGCCUCACUGGGACUGAGACACGGCCCAGACUCCUACGGGAGGCAGCAGUGGGGAAUAUUGGACAAUGGGCGCAAGCCUGAUCCAGCCAUGCCGCGUGAGUGAUGAAGGCCUUAGGGUUGUAAAGCUCUUUCGUCAGGGAAGAUAAUGACGGUACCUGAAGAAGAAGCCCCGGCUAACUUCGUGCCAGCCGCCGCCGUAACAC